rnacentral:rRNA from 1 species
GACGAACGCUGGCGGCGUGCCUAAUACAUGCAAGUAGAACGCUGAAGAGAAGAGCUUGCUCUUCUUGGAUGAGUUGCGAACGGGUGAGUAACGCGUAGGUAACCUGCCUGGUAGCGGGGGAUAACUAUUGGAAACGAUAGCUAAUACCGCAUAAAAUUGAUUAUUGCAUGAUAAUUAAUUGAAAGAUGCAAUUGCAUUACUACCAGAUGGACCUGCGUUGUAUUAGCUAGUUGGUGAGGUAACGGCUCACCAAGGCGACGAUACAUAGCCGACCUGAGAGGGUGAUCGGCCACACUGGGACUGAGACACGGCCCAGACUCCUACGGGAGGCAGCAGUAGGGAAUCUUCGGCAAUGGGGGGAACCCUGACCGAGCAACGCCGCGUGAGUGAAGAAGGUUUUCGGAUCGUAAAGCUCUGUUGUAAGAGAAGAACGGGUGUGAGAGUGGAAAGUUCACACUGG